rnacentral:sRNA from 1 species
ACCCGCUGAACUUAAGCAUAUCAAUAAGCGGAGGAAAAGAACAACAGGGAUUGCCCCAGUAACGGCGAGUGAAGCGGCAACAGCUCAAAUUUGAAAUCUGGCCCCCCCCGCGGGGUCCGAGUUGUAAUUUGAAGAGGAUGCUUCUGGCGAGGCGCCGUCCGAGUUCCCUGGAACGGGACGCCGCAGAGGGUGAGAGCCCCGUACGGUCGGACGCCGAGCCUAUGUGAAGCUCCUUCGACGAGUCGAGUAGUUUGGGAAUGCUGCUCAAAAUGGGAGGUAAACCCCUUCUAAAGCUAAAUACCGGCCAGAGACCGAUAGCGCACAAGUAGAGUGAUCGAAAGAUGAAAAGCACUUUGAAAAGAGAGUUAAAAAGCACGUGAAAUUGUUGAAAGGGAAGCGCUUGCGACCAGACUCGCGCCCGUCGGAUCAGCCGUCGCUCGUCGGCGGCGCACUCCGGCGGGCUCGGGCCAGCAUCGGUUCGCCUCGGGGGGAGAAAGGCGGCGGGAAUGUGGCUCUACGGAGUGUUAUAGCCCGCCGUGCAAUACCCCCGGGCGGACCGAGGACCGCGCGUAUGCAAGGAUGCUGGCGUAAUGGUCGUCAGCGACCCGUCUUGAAACACGGACCAAGGAGUCGUCCUAAUAUGCGAGUGUUCGGGUGUAAAACCCCUGCGCGUAAUGAAAGUGAACGGAGGUGAGAGCUUCGGCGCAUCAUCGACCGAUCCUGAUGUUCUCGGAUGGAUUUGAGUAAGAGCAUAUUGGGCCGGACCCGAAAGAAGGUGAACUAUGCCUGUAUAGGGUAAAGCCAGAGGAAACUCUGGUGGAGGCUCGCAGCGGUUCUGACGUGCAAAUCGAUCGUCAAAUAUGGGCAUGGGGGCGAAAGACUAAUCGAACCUUCU